rnacentral:lncRNA from 12 species
UGUUUUUAUGCCUUUUAUUUUUUUCCCCCUAGUGUCAUUAUUUUCCUCUCCUAGCAACCUUUUGUCAUUCUCUGCCGAGUUUAUUUUAUAAAUAGUCCCUCACACUGCUCCACUCCUAACCUCCUAGUAAUUGCUCAACUCUGGGCAAUUUAGCUUUUAUCAUCUCAUCACUGGUAUGCAAGAAUAGAAAGGAAACAGUCUUGUUACCUAGUCUAAACCCAUCUCUCCUCCUCCUGCUCAUCUAUCCCAAGACAUGGGACCUUACGCCAGUGAUAAGAUGCACAGAAGAGCCUUCUUCUGGAUGAAAAUGCUGUUUUGUUUUAUCAGAAAUACGAUCACCAUACUACUUAUCAAUUCAUUAAGUACUCAGUGUGCCAACUUGAAGGAAGAUCAGACUACAAGUUACAUUUAAGAGCCCUGCAUAGUGACAUAAUAUGCAAUCUCCUUGAUUCAAUUAUGUGUUUUUAAAGUUAUUAAUGAGUAUACUCUGAAUAAAAUCCAAGAUGAUGAUCA